rnacentral:lncRNA from 1 species
CAUCUAUGCUUGGAUGGGGUGAGAAUGUUCUUAGACAGGAAUAUGUCAGGGUGAGGUAACUACACAAGCCGCAUGGACUUUGGAGGAAGCUGUAAUGUGGGGAAAGCACAAAUCUAGGCACUGGAUUUAUCUGCAGUAUACUCAAAGCCAGCAGCCUGAGACAGGAAGACUUGAGCUGAAGUGUUCUCACUUGUCAGAUGAGAAGUCUGGAUUGUCUAAUUGCUUAGGUUCUUACCGAUUCUGAUAGCUCGAGAUCCUCCUGGUUGGAUGACCUUCGAUGCCUUGUUUGGCAUUGCUCAUCACAUAAAUAUCAGAUUACCUUUAGGAGUGGACAAGGUCAUUAGUGCCAAGGAAUGCGUCACUAAAGGUCCCAAAAGGAAUUUCUAAGUGGCCGGUUCUGUGUAAGUGGGGUGAAGAUUGAUGUAAAGAUAAAACUAUUAAUGGAUUUAAGGAAGUCGUGCAUGAAUGUGCCUGGCGUUAGACAACUGUUGUGCCUGAUGGCUGACAGAAAACAAGCAGGAGAAGUAUACACAAGGGCUGCUUCUAGACUGUUCAGAGGAAGUUAGGUGGCUGACUCACCUGACCGGUAACCAACCCUGCCUUCUAAGUAUGGCCACGAACAGAUCAACACCUGCUCCUUCCUGCCAUACCUCAAAGUGUUAAAUACAAGGGAAUUCAAAGCAGUUCAUGCCAUCAUCACGUCUAUCCAGAAUCUUUCAAUUUAAAAAUUCUUCUUGGUUUUUUCAGAAGUGACAUUUUGGCUUUAUUUUCCUUUCUAACUCUUCAUCUUAUCACGUAUGAUGAUACCUUUUACAGAAUAAAAGUGAACUAUGAGACACUCUCUUACCUUAGAAGUUACCAAAAAAAAAAAAAAAUUGAAGAAUUCUCAGUAAGUGGCAAGAGUGGCCACAUGCUAAUUUGUUCAAUCACGCAGCAAAGUAAUAGAUAACUGCUUCCCAAAAUGUGAUUGCUAGCUGGCAUGGUGCCUCAUGCCUGUGUCACUGAGAGAGGAAGAGAAAAGGCUGCAGAAAUUCCAUGCCAGCCUGCUACAAGUCUCAGAACAACUAGAGCAGAAGACUCACUGUUCAUUUAUCUAAAAUCAAUAUAGUGCCUUAAAGUACAAAAUAUAAUUACUGGCUUCCAUGAGGGGUUUGUUGUUGUUGAUGAUGAUGAUUUUAUAGAAUCUUGAAAGAAUAAUGUUAGGCCACUGGAGUCUUAAGAGGUAUGCAUAUGUGAUCUUUACAAGGUUCAGUUUUAUCAUCAAAUUUAUCACUAGGUGUUUGAGUCUUUCUGGAUUAGGCUGUUUUUAGAAACGGGGGAUUACAGAAAAGAUGUCCCCACUCUACCCUGCUACUUGUAAUUAUCAGGCUUUAUUUCCAUCAGUUGAUUCACAGCCCACGCUUUGCUAAAACUCAUUCUAGAAGCAGAUGUUUUAGAUAUUAUUAUAAAACACACUUUUUUCUUCUGCUUGUACCACACCAAAAUUAGCAUUGAUAUUGAACUAUCUAAACGUACUCUAUGCAACAGAAGGUCUACACAUUUUCUUCACGAGGAUGAGGGUCUUUAUCACACAGCAAUGCUUCAACACAUCAAAUUGUGUAGAUAUCUUUGAAUACGAGAGUGCCACUGCAGUUGAGUACCAGGUCUGCUAUAGUAUUUUCCUCUAGUUGACUAGAAAAUGAGACAGUUCUAUGACUGACCUUUGGCCACCCUGAGAUCUGAUUCUUAUGGUUGGGAUGUUAUGUUACUGUUUUAACAAGAAUAAAACAAACUGCUCUCAUCUUCCAAGCAAUAGCGCUUGCACAGAAGAGCUUGGCUUGGAAAGCUAUGCUACAUUUGCUGCCAGAUAUAUUUCAAUCACCAGAAGCUACAUAGUGUCUAACUAAACCUGCUCUAAGGGUUGAACACAGUCAGAGAGAAAAGUUAAUCUGGCAUUGCCUCCCAUCCAAGUUUAAACAUCGUAUCAUUACAUAGGAGUAGACCUUUCAAACGUGAACUCAUGAGUGUGGUGGCUGCCCAGAUUCUGGUCCCUUUGUUUAUGAGGCUGUCUCAUGUUUGGCUGCAUUAUACACCUUGGAGAGUAUGCACUUAGUGGGGCUUACUCACAAAUACGCUUGUGUAUUAAUGACGUAAAACUUUGAAGGAAGAAUUAUAUCAAUUAGGGACAGUUAGAAUGGGGGAAAAUUGCAGAAAUGUUUGUUUCUUAAAAGGAUUUUCACACUUGGAUUCUAUUCAAAGUAGAAGUUAACUGCUGCACAGUUCAUACUUUCCUAUUAGAUUGUCAUUUCUAUUUCUCUCUGUCCCCAAAGACUGUAUGUGAAAGAUUUGGACUGAAAAUCCAAACACUAUUAGUAAUAAAUGUAACUUGAAAAUCAA